rnacentral:rRNA from 1 species
UUCGUCUGCCCAAGGAUGGGUCUGCGGCCUAUCAGGUAGUAUUGGGUGUAAUGUACCUACUAGCCUACAACGGGUACGGGUUGUGAGAGCAAGAGCCCGGAGAUGGAUUCUGAGACAUGAAUCCAGGCCCUACGGGGCGCAGCAGGCGCGAAAACUUUACAAUGCGGGAAACCGUGAUAAGGGGACACCGAGUGCCAGCAUCAUAUGCUGGCUGUCCAGAUGUGUAAAAUACAUCUGUUAGCAAGGGCCGGGCAAGACCGGUGCCAGCCGCCGCGGUAACACCGGCGGCCCGAGUGGUGAUCGUGAUUAUUGGGUCUAAAGGGUCCGUAGCCGGUUUGGUCAGUCCUCCGGGAAAUCUGAUAGCUCAACUAUUAGGCUUUCGGGGGAUACUGCCAGGCUUGGAACCGGGAGAGGUAAGAGGUACUACAGGGGUAGGAGUGAAAUCUUGUAAUCCCUGUGGGACCACCUGUGGCGAAGGCGUCUUACCAGAACGGGUUCGACGGUGAGGGACGAAAGCUGGGGGCACGAACCGGAUUAGAUACCCGGGUAGUCCCAGCCGUAAACGAUGCUCGCUAGGUGUCAGGCAUGGCGCGACCGUGUCUGGUGCCGCAGGGAAGCCGUGAAGCGAGCCACCUGGGAAGUACGGCCGCAAGGCUGAAACUUAAAGGAAUUGGCGGGGGAGCACAACAACGGGUGGAGCCUGCGGUUUAAUUGGACUCAACGCCGGACAACUCACCGGGGACGACAGCAAUAUGUAGGCCAGGCUGAAGACCUUGCCUGAAUCGCUGAGAGGAGGUGCAUGGCCGUCGCCAGUUCGUACUGUGAAGCAUCCUGUUAAGUCAGGCAACGAGCGAGACCCGUGCCCACUGUUACCAGCAUAUCCUCCGGGAUGAUGGGUACUCUGUGGGGACCGCCGGUGUUAAAUCGGAGGAAGGUGCGGGCCACGGUAGGUCAGUAUGCCCCGAAUUUCCCGGGCUACACGCGGGCUACAAUGAAUGGGACAAUGGGUCCCUCCCCCGAAAGGGGCUGGUAAUCUCAC